AUUGUGUGAAUACAUAGCACAUUCGAGGUAGACGCAGAGAACUGAAACAUCUAAGUACCUGCAGGAAGAGAAAGAAAAUUCGAUUCCCUGAGUAGCGGCGAGCGAAACGGGAAAAGCCCAAACCAGCAAGCUUGCUUGUUGGGGUUGUAGGACUCCAAUAUGGUAGUUCUUUCAGAUAGUCGAAUGACUUGGAAAAGUCAGUCAAAGAGGGUAAAAACCCCGUAGACGAAAUGUGGAAGACACCUAGGAGGAUCCUGAGUACGGCGGAACACGAGAAAUUCCGUCGGAAUCCGGGAGGACCAUCUCCCAAGGCUAAAUACUCCCUAGUGACCGAUAGUGAACCAGUACCGUGAGGGAAAGGUGAAAAGCACCCCGGAAGGGGAGUGAAAUAGAACCUGAAACCGUGUGCCUACAACAAGUCAAAGCCCGUUAAUGGGUGAUGGCGUGCCUUUUGUAGAAUGAACCGGCGAGUUACGAUUGCAUGCGAGGUUAAGUUGAAGAGACGGAGCCGCAGCGAAAGCGAGUCUGAAUAGGGCGUUUGAGUAUGUAGUCGUAGACCCGAAACCAUGUGAUCUACCCAUGUCCAGGUUGAAGGUGCGGUAAAACGCACUGGAGGACCGAACCCACGUACGUUGAAAAGUGCGGGGAUGAGG
rnacentral:rRNA from 1 species